GUGGUGUUGUUUAUGACAAUGGCACACCGGAAACCGGCGCCAUCUUAGAGUUGGCUUCCUACAAAAACCUGCUCACUGGAUACUUACUAAGAUUACCAUCUUUGGUUGUCUCAACCUUGUGAAGAGGGUGACAUGUCAACCAACUCUGUUUCCCAGAAAAUCCUGUUUGUCCCGUUCAUACCCACUCCUGGAAGCCAGUCGGAGAGACGUGACCUCCAGAUAUCAGGGAUGUUCAUAGACACCUAUGUGUUUCUGUUAAAAUUCAUAUGGCUCCUAUUUCUGAGUGAAUCUUCAUAUCCAAGAAGAAGAAAAGGAGGAGGAGAAAGAACAGGAAGAAGAAGAGGAAAGAAAAGAGAAAGAACAAAGGCAUGGGGUAGAGAGAUGGCUCAGCAGUUAGGAGUGCUUGCUGCUCUCGCAGAGGAUCUGAGCUCAGUUCCCAGCACUUACUUGGUGGCUCAUAGCUGUAAUCCACAGUUCCACCUCCAGUGGGAUCCAACGCCAUCCUCUGUUCUCCAAGAACAGCAUUCACGUGCAUACAUAAAUAAAAAUAAAAUGUUUAAAAAUUAAAACUACUUUAAAAACAAAGCAAAUAGAUAAACUCCACGCUCAUAUAUUUUUAAAAUUUUUAUUUGCCAUUAAGAUCUUUUCAAUUUUGCCAGGCAGUGGUGGCACACGCCUUUAAUCUCAGCUCUUGGGAGGCAGAGACAGGCGGAUUUCUGAGUUUGAGGCCAGCCUGGUCUACAAAGUGAGUUCCAGGACAGCCAGGGCAACACAGAGAAACUCUGUCUUGGAAAAAAAAAAGUUAUUUUCAGUUUCAAAUUGUGUAUGUGUGUGUUGGGGGAGGGAGUUGUUAGGGGCAGGCACACAUGUGCUGUAACACGCGCACGUGUGUGUGUGUGUGUGUGUGUGUGUGUGUGUGUGUGUGUGUGUGUGUGUNNNNNNNNNNUAGAAGACAGCUUCUAGGGAUUGGUGGGUUCUGGGGAUUAAACGCAGGAUCACACAGCAAGCACCUUUACCAGCUGAGCCAUCUCACUGACCCAUGAUUUAAAAAAAAAAACAGUUGUAGCAUUUAUUCCUGCUUCUGCAAUAAACAUAGAAUAUUACCAGG
rnacentral:lncRNA from 1 species